GAUGAACGCUGGCGGCGUGCCUAAUACAUGCAAGUCGAACGAAACUUCUUUAUCACCGAGUGCUUGCACUCACCGAUAAAGAGUUGAGUGGCGAACGGGUGAGUAACACGUGGGCAACCUGCCCAAAAGAGGGGGAUACACUUGGAAACAGGUGCUAAUACCGCAUAACCAUAGUUACCGCAUGGUAACUAUGUAAAAGGUGGCUAUACUACCGCUUUUGGAUGGGCCCGCGGCGCAUUAGCUAGUUGGUAGGGUAAAGGCUUACCAAGGCAAUGAUGCGUAGCCGAAUUGAGAGGUUGAUCGGCCACAUUGGGACUGAGGCACGGCCCAAACUCCUACGGGAGGCAGCAGUAGGGAAUCUUCCACAAUGGGCGAAAGCCUGAUGGAGCAACGCCGCGUGGGUGAAGAAGGUCUUCGGAUCGUAAAACCCUGUUGUUAGAGAAGAAAGUGCGUGAGAGUAACUGUUCACGUUUCGACGGUAUCUAACCAGAAAGCCACGGCUAACUACGUG
rnacentral:rRNA from 1 species